GAUGAACGCUGGCGGCGUGCCUAAUACAUGCAAGUCGAGCGAACAGACGAGGAGCUUGCUCCUCUGACGUUAGCGGCGGACGGGUGAGUAACACGUGGAUAACCUACCUAUAAGACUGGGAUAACUUCGGGAAACCGGAGCUAAUACCGGAUAAUAUAUUGAACCGCAUGGUUCAAUAGUGAAAGACGGUUUUGCUGUCACUUAUAGAUGGAUCCGCGCCGCAUUAGCUAGUUGGUAAGGUAACGGCUUACCAAGGCAACGAUGCGUAGCCGACCUGAGAGGGUGAUCGGCCACACUGGGACGGAGACACGGUCCAGACUCCUACGGGAGGCAGCAGUAGGGAAUCUUCCGCAAUGGGCGAAAGCCUGACGGAGCAACGCCGCGUGAGUGAUGAAGGUCUUCGGAUCGUAAAACUCUGUUAUUAGGGAAGAACAAAUGUGUAAGUAACUAUGCACGUCUUGACGGUACCUAAUCAGAAAGCCACGGCUAACUACG
rnacentral:rRNA from 1 species